ACCGAGCGAGAGUCGCAGAGAGCACAAACUUGUACACGUCAGUGCACAGAGAGAGACAAUGAUAUCUUUUAUUUACGAAUUACGAGGGUGGCAGAAUAGGCAAAACAUACUCCUCUCUCCCUGGUACAUUGAGAAUUCGCUUUAGAAAGGAAAAGAGUACGCUAUAUAUAUGUGACAACUUUACAAUUAUAUAUAACACAAAUAAAUGAUACAACAACACCUCGAUCCCUUUCAAGUUGCAUAUAAACAGCACAGAUCCACUGACGAUGCCACACUCACUCUUCUGCACAAUGCAUACUCUCACUUAGACAGGUAGAGAAUGGUCAGAUUAUGGGUCAUGUUAUACAGCCACCCCUGUCAUGGAAUGUGGUCGAUCCUGUUCGCCUGAAACCUUUGUUCAUUAUCACAGUAAGGGACAAUGAAUGUGUUGUUCUGUGUAGACAAGGCUGCAGUGCUCAGAUCAAGAUAUUGCUUGCUUGGUUAGAAGAGGAGUCAGAAUCUUUACGGGGAAAUUUUGAUCAACGGAUGCUCAGACAUUUACUCCAAGGGAAUGUUAGCUUCCUACACAGGAUAUACAACCUUGCUGAGCAGACUCGUUACUGGUCAUCACUGCAGCUCACUAAAGUGCCUGAGCCAUGUGGGUUUUCAAUAUCCCCAGUUACACCUGGUAUAUUCAAGGGGACUUAUGGUUCUCAUGGGCUGGAGUUCAUACAAAUCACUCUGAGGAUGGAUACACACUCCUGGGGAACAAACUGACAGGAGAUCCAAAUGUUCCUGCAGGAGAAACAAGUUUGUAUAUUGAUCUCAGGCAGCCCAUACGUCUGACAACAGAUGAGCAAAGAAAUAUUGACAUUUUGAAGAGUGUUACUGCUCCUAUUCUUCCUCAUCCAUUUCUAUUUGACCCUAGCGAGGUCCAACCCUUUUUCCUGUGCACUGACUUACUUGAGA
rnacentral:misc_RNA from 1 species